CGAAAGUUCAUCUUAACCAGAGCUGUCCAGUAGUUGAUGUGUCCUGUCAUCAGUGGCGUCGUCGUCACUGAUGUUCUGUGUUUUCACAAGACUAAACUGAGCUUGUGUUAUAUGAGCAGGAUCGCUGUAGUUCUUCCUCUGUGUCACCAGAACACCCUUCAUUCACAAACCGUUUCAUUAAUGAUUUGGCUGAUUUCAUCAUGCCUGCAGGAACUAGUAAGACAUCAGUACUUUAAGCUCCAUUUAAAGGGUUAGUUCAGGCAAAAAUGAUCGUUCUGUCACUGUGUUCCCACCCUCGUGCCACUCCAAACCCAUAAGACUUUCAUUCAUCUUUGAAACACAAAUUAAGAGAUUUUUUAUAAAACCAGUGAGUUUUGUUCUAGCAUGCUUGAGCUUGAGCUUCCAUCGUGGCCAUGUUCAGUGCCCUCCAUGUACGUGACGUGAUCAAAGGUGUUGAUCAUACAAACCCAUUUUCUGUAUCUGUUUAUCAUAAAAAGCAAUCAUAUCUCUCAAGUAGACGUGGAUGGACUUUAUAUGGACUUGUUUUAUGAAGUUUGGUUGGGUGGACUUCCAAUGUUGGGUCAAAAACCUCUAAAAUAUCUUCACUAAACCCAAAUCUCAUGGGUUUGGAUGAGUAAAUGAUGACAGAGCAUUCAUUUUUGGGUAAACAAACCCUUUAAGUCCAUUCCACACACACUUUUUCUCUCAGAGUUGGUGCAGAAGAUGCAAAAAAGCCCAUAGAUUGAGUCACGAGACAUUCACUGCAGAGCAGCCUGAUGAGCUCACAUCACACGAAGCUGAAUUAUCCUGGAUCGAGCGGCGGUCGCACAUCUCCUGGCUGUAAUUGGCGUGUGACCCGAGGACAGGAUCCGUGUGGCAGUAAGUGUGCGUUAAGCGUCACUUCGCCAGCCGUUUCUCGUCCCCAGCUGUCCUGCGCUACACAAGCAGCAUGUCAGGGUGAAGAGGAACACUGUCUCUGCUCGCUGACACAUCCUAAACCAGAGCGGCAUCUUUCCCCUGCUCUAAUGAGGAUGGAACAGUGUCCUCAGCACACGCCGAUGAAGCCUCCUCUCCCGCUCGGCCUCCAGGGACCUCAUUAGGCUUUCUUUCCACCGUCUCCGUGCAGGAAUCACACCGUCCUUAGGGAAAAAUGUAAAUAAACGCAUUUGUCACUUAGCACCCUCCCAUUUUGCUUUUUCCAGGAAGAAAAAUUGCAUUGCGAGGCUUAAUUAGUAAGCGCUGCCAUUAUGCGUUCUUUAUUAUGUAAAUGAAGCGGCCGAGCACUUGGAGCCGUUGUCUCGCAAGCUUUGUGCCAGGUGUUUUCUGGCUGAAUGCUGCCGGUGCUUUUUUCAUCCUCGCAGCAAAAGAAAAAGACAACUGUACUGUGAAAUCAUAGGAUGAGCUAUAAUUAUUUGACAGAUGAUUUUUCCCUCCCCUGCGAUCCGUGGCUGCUUUGAUUUUCUUUGUUGCGGCCGAGCUCGAUGGUUUCUGAACGUGCCGCUGAUUCUCCGGGAUCCUCACGUCUCCCUCUCUUCCCGAGAACUUGAUACCCAGAAAUCCAGGAGUUGGAGCAGUAAUGCCUGGAUCGGGGUGGGCGCGUCUCCCGAGGGGUUAGCGCUCGAUUAAUAUUGAAAAUCUGUAAGUCUUGGCCCUCAGCGGCAGGUGAUGGCGGGUUUAUGAGAGGAAAUGUGGAAUGUUAAUCUUGCCCACCUGCUCCCGCCGUCCUCUCGAGCGAUGGAUGAUGAUGAGGAGAUCUGGGAAGGAUUAUGGCUUGGAAAUUGACAGUGAUUGAGCUGUCCAUCCUGGGCUUGAGCUGAUUUAUUCUCAAGGAACUUUUGUGUGGCCUGAAUCUUGAGUUUCAGCCAAUCAGAUUCUCCAUCACCAUCACCUGUCCGUCACAUCAAGACAGUAUGUGAGAGCACAAUAUCAUUUAGACUGUGAAGUCUCGCUUCGCUUGAGAUAUGAGUCCUUCAGUUUUCCCAUGAUUCAUGGAUUUCAGCCAGACUUUAGCUGAUAUUUGUCCGUUAUAUUGGCAUAGAUGUUCCUCCACCUGUCAGCUCCAAAAUCUACUGACAAACAGUUUUCAGGUGAAGUCAGCUUUGCUUCUG
ensembl:lncRNA